UCCGAUGUAGUCUAGUGGUUAUAAUUUGCGGCUCUCACCCGCAAGGCCCGGGUUCGAUUCCCGGCAUGGGAA
rnacentral:tRNA from 1 species